rnacentral:rRNA from 1 species
GUGGGGAAUUUUGGACAAUGGGCGCAAGCCUGAUCCAGCCAUUCCGCGUGCAGGAUGAAGGCCUUCGGGUUGUAAACUGCUUUUGUACGGAACGAAAAGCCUCUGGUUAAUACCCGGGGGUCAUGACGGUACCGUAAGAAUAAGCACCGGCUAACUACGUGCCAGCAGCCGCGGUAAUACGUAGGGUGCGAGCGUUAAUCGGAAUUCCUGGGCUUAAAGCGUGCGCAGGCGGUGAUGUAAGACAGUUGUGAAAUCCCCGGGCUCAACCUGGGAACUGCAUCUGUGACUGCAUUGCUGGAGUGCGGCAGAGGGGGAUGGAAUUCCGCGUGUAGCAGUGAAAUGCGUAGAUAUGCGGAGGAACACCGAUGGCGAAGGCAAUCCCCUGGGCCUGCACUGACGCUCAUGCACGAAAGCGUGGGGAGCAAACAGGAUUAGAAACCCUGGUAGUCC